GAUGAACGCUGGCGGCGUGCCUAAUACAUGCAAGUCGAGCGAACAGACGAGGAGCUUGCUCCUCUGACGUUAGCGGCGGACGGGUGAGUAACACGUGGAUAACCUACCUAUAAGACUGGGAUAACUUCGGGAAACCGGAGCUAAUACCGGAUAAUAUAUUGAACCGCAUGGUUCAAUAGUGAAAGACGGUUUUGCUGUCACUUAUAGAUGGAUCCGCGCCGCAUUAGCUAGUUGGUAAGGUAACGGCUUACCAAGGCAACGAUGCGUAGCCGACCUGAGAGGGUGAUCGGCCACACUGGAACUGAGACACGGUCCAGACUCCUACGGGAGGCAGCAGUAGGGAAUCUUCCGCAAUGGGCGAAAGCCUGACGGAGCAACGCCGCGUGAGUGAUGAAGGUCUUCGGAUCGUAAAACUCUGUUAUUAGGGAAGAACAAAUGUGUAAUUAACUAUGCACGUCUUGACGGUACCUAAUGAGAAAGCCACGGCUAACUACGUG
rnacentral:rRNA from 1 species